AUAUGUAGGUAUAUGGAAAGUUUAUUUAAAUAGAAUAAGUACGUAGUUCCCAAAAACUAAUUAAAAUAUUUGCUGUUUUUGAACAGGCUCCACAAUACCAAGAGGCAUAAAGGUGGUUCUUGUCGCAAUAUAAUAAUAUUAAUAUUAUAAAGAGCUUCUCUAAAUGUGCCAUGUCUUCUACACCAUAGAGAGUGUUCGAAUACUUUGGGGUGUCAUUUAAGCAUAUUAAAUGAACAAGAACACAAAAAAUAAGGAUUCGAAAUGUAAAGAAGUAGAUUCCAAUCACGCUUCUUUCUCUUGGGCUUAUGGAAAGGGAUGUCAUUUAAACAUAUUAAAUGAACAAGAAGACAAAAAAUAAGGAUUGGAGACUUGGAGAAGUGGAACCUCUUCAUUUCUCCCUCCCCUUGGGCUUGAAAAUAUAUACAGUCCAAUUUACAGCUGCAUAUGUGAUGUUCUGUCUGUCUGUCUGCCAGCUGUGGGGCUCAUUUCACCAUGGGUGGUAUUAUUUUUCCUUUCGUAAGCAUCUAUUAUUAAGAGGCAUUUCUCUGUUGUCAUCGCUUAAAAAUAAAACUCGAGCACCGUACAGUAAUCCUCUAGAUUGUUGCAACAAAUGAGAGAGAAUAAAGUUCAGUUUGGUCAUACUGAUACAACCAGUGUCUACAUAGGUGUGGUCUUUUGUGAACUGUUUUAAAUAUGCUCGUUCUCUUCACUUUGCAAUAUUAUGCAGUCAAUUUUGAAGCGGCGAGUGAGAGCAACUGGAUAUUUAUUUGCAUUUCACUGGAACAACAAAUUGUCUGCUGUGGUAUUCCUGGAUUUGUUUUGCUUUUCACACCUGCAAACUUUGGAAUGUUACAGUUAAUUAAGAUCGACGUUGGAGAAGACAAAGAUGACCCCGUAGUUG